CGCCAGACUCCUACGGGAGGCAGCAGUGGGGGAUAUUGCACAAUGGGGGGAACCCUGAUGCAGCGACGCCGCGUGGGUGAAGGAGCACCUCGGUGCGUAAAGCCCUAUCGGCAGGGAAGAAACAGACGGUACCUGACUAAGAAGCCCCGGCUAACUACGUGCCAGCAGCCGCGGUAAUACGUAGGGGGCAAGCGUUAUCCGGAUUUACUGGGUGUAAAGGGGGCGCAGACGGCAAUGCAAGCCAGGAGUGAAAGCCCGGGGCCCAACCCCGGGACUGCUCUUGGAACUGCAUGGCUGGAGUACAGGAGGGGCAGGCGGAAUUCCUGGUGUAGCGGUGAAAUGCGUAGAUAUCAGGAGGAACACCGGUGGCGAAGGCGGCCUGCUGGACUGCGACUGACGUUGAGGCCCGAAAGCGUGGGGAGCAAACAGGAUUAGAUACCCCCGUAC
rnacentral:rRNA from 1 species